AUUUCAGCCACAUGUGAUAGAUGACCAAGUGACUGCUUCCUUGGGGUCCACACACCAGUGGAAGACUCUCAAACUGGUUGUAGCCGACUUGAUCAAACUCUGGCUUCCUGAACUGUCCCCCCCUUGUUCUGAUCGUUUUGACACAGGAAUGAGAUGCAGAUAACUCCUUAGAAAACUUUUUAUAGGAAAAGUGCCUCGUGUGAUCUGGAACAAAGACAUUUUAUAAUCAGAUUUAUCAAGCUGUGAAGAGGGAGUUUUAGCGAAUGGAAGCAGCAGCAUUCUGUCACCAGGAAAUACUGCUUUAUCCAGAAUUGGUUUGACCACAGCAGCAAUUGCAAAGAAAAUGCUUUUGUGUCUUUCGGUGUGAGAUGUGAAGUUCCUAUCACUGGGUAAGAAUUCUGCAUUGAGAGAGGUGGAGAGAGGUGGGACAUCAGGAGGAAACUGACCACCUUGGAUGAGACGAAUUGAGAGCCGAGAGAGAAAGAUGUAGAAACGGACAGGGGAGGAUGCAGAGGAACCCCAGGGAAGCUGGUGAAUCUCUAGUCCCAAGUGUCCUUAGGCCCUUGCCUCACUUCUUCCUGGCGUCCCGGACACCCUGUCUGUUCCUGUUUAUUUCCUGUGAGACAUGUGGCAUACUCCUGACUUACUGAGCAUCCCUUUGCUGAGGAGCUGGGAGAACGAGGAACUCAGGAAUGGACUUUCAAGACACCAUCUUCCCCAAAUCCUCCUGCAUACCUCUCUCUCCACUGAAUCUACUUUCUACGUGUCAUAUAAAGAGAUAUAGACAUUGACAUUCCUUUUCUG